CAGCAGCAGUCAGGUUUGCACUCAGGUCUGGCUAGGGUCAGGACAGCAGCAAUCCUGACACAGGGUUGUCAGGCGGGGCAGCAGCUAGGCCACAGUAAGCCUAGUUCCUGUCGUAUCUCCCUUGUCAGUGGCCCCAGACCCUGCACCGGGUGCAGUGCAGCUCCAUAGUGAAGCACGCCAGCUGCUUCUGCAGGUCACCUGCGGCAUCUGAGAUGGAAGCUGGGAGAUAGUGAGAGACAUCCACAAGUUCCAGAGAAGAGUCUGAGGUGGGAACUCCCAUGUAAGCAACUGACUGAUGGAAGGGCACCCAGCUGACUUCUCGCAGACACACAGUGGCCUAUAAGCCAGCGCGCUAGGCAAGGGAGGCAGGAGGUGGGGUCCCCAUCCUGGGGCUCCCCCUGCAGCUGGCUAAAAGAAAAAGGCAGUUUCCCAGCCCCUCUCACAGCAUCAGGGCUGGGAUGGUCGUGUGACUGUUCCUUCAGCAUGGAUUGGCUCCCUGAAGGAGGAAGGAGAAGAUCGCAUGGGACUACUGAGCAGGGAAGAAGGGAGGAGGAGGGUCUCAGGGUUCAAGGACCCCCCUGAAGGCUCUCCUUUUCAACAAUCUCCCCGAUUCCCCUGUUGGAGUUAAUAACUCUUCCUCGGCUUUCCCUGCCCUUUUUACCGCUGUGUGACCUUAGAACUUACGUCUCACCUUCCACCCUGGGUGCUCCUCCCUGGAGAUGCUCAGCCAUGGCAGUCUAGCUCUGCUUCUCAGCUUCAACCUUCCCCAACACCUGGACUCAGAUGGGGAAACUGAGGAUGCUCCAAGGUCACACAAUCACAGCUCAGCAGCAGAGCCAGGAUUGGAACCCAGUUUGGCUGACUGCUAGCUGAGUUCCCUCCCCACAACAUCACCUUGUCUAAUUCACCUCCAGAUUCAGACAGACCCAGCGUGGUACUAAGUUUUGUCCCUUCUUAGCUGU